rnacentral:rRNA from 1 species
UACGGGGGGGGCAAGCGUUGUUCGGAAUUACUGGGCGUAAAGCGCGUGUAGGCGGUUGUUCAAGUCGGGCGUGAAAGCCUUGAGCUCAACUCAAGAAAUGCACUCGAUACUGGAUGACUUGAGGACCGGAGAGGAUAGUGGAAUUCCCAGUGUAGUGGUGAAAUACGUAGAGAUUGGGAAGAACACCAGUGGCGAAGGCGGCUAUCUGGACGGUUUCUGACGCUAAGACGCGAAAGCGUGGGGAGCAAACAGG